UACGGGGGGGGGCAAGCGUUGUUCGGAAUUACUGGGCGUAAAGGGCUCGUAGGCGGCCAACUAAGUCGGAUGUGAAAUCCCCAAGCUUAACUUGGGAACUGCAUCCGAUACUGGAUGGCUUGAAUCCGGGAGAGGGAUGCAGAAUUCCAGGUGUAGCGGUGAAAUUCGUAGAUAUUCGCAAGAACACCAGUGGCGAAGGCGGCUCACUGGCCCGAUACUGACGCUGAGGUGCGAAAGCGUGGGGAGCGAACAGG
rnacentral:rRNA from 1 species